UACGUAGGGUGCAAGCGUUGUCCGGAAUUAUUGGGCGUAAAGAGCUCGUAGGCGGUUUGUCGCGUCUGCUGUGAAAACCCGAGGCUCAACCUCGGGCCUGCAGUGGGUACGGGCUGACUAGAGUGCGGUAGGGGAGAUUGGAAUUCCUGGUGUAGCGGUGGAAUGCGCAGAUAUCAGGAGGAACACCGAUGGCGAAGGCAGAUCUCUGGGCCGUAACUGACGCUGAGGAGCGAAAGCAUGGGGAGCGAACAGG
rnacentral:rRNA from 1 species